GCAUCAGUGGUGUAAUGGUUAGCAUUAGCGCCUUCCACGAAGAUUUCAAGCGCUAGACCCUGGUUCGAUUCCUGGCUGAUGCA